ACCUCAUCAGCCUGCCAAGGUGACGAUGCAAGAGGCCAAGAGGGCAAAUAUUCGACUUCCAUCUAAAGUAAAUCGGAUCUUAUAUAUAAGGAAUUUGCCAUACAAAAUCACAGCUGAAGAAAUGUAUGAUAUUUUUGGAAAAUAUGGGCCUAUUCAUCAGAUCAGAGUGGAGAACACACCUGAAACUAGAGAAACAGCUUAUGUGGUCUAUGAAGACAUCUUUGAUGCCACGAACGCAUGUCAUCACCUAUCAGGAUUCAAUGUUUGUAACAGAUACCUUGUGGUUUUGUACUAUAAUGGCAACAGGGCAUUUCAGAAGAUGGACACAAAGAAGGAGGAGGAACAGUUGAAACUUCUCAAGGAGAAAUACAGCAUCAACACAGAUCCACCAAAAUAAAUGUUUACUUUCAUUUUGGACUUAAACCCACAAAUGACCACCACUGCCUUUUUUCCUUUUUAAUACUGAAUAUUGUGAUUUCUUAUUUGAGAUUCAAAAAAGAAUCUCAAACUUUGAUACAUAUCAGGAUAUAUUAUG